rnacentral:lncRNA from 1 species
GCAAGUUUCAGGAGCCAAUUUGCCUAUAAAACGGAAGAGAUAAAUUACUUAAACGCACAAAUAAAUUCCAACUCCAAGAGCUUAUCAUUUGCCUCAAACCAAAGUAUUACAUAUCACUAUAUCACUCCACACUCCACUAAAUGGGUUUAAUUUCAGGCAUGUUGAGUUGCUUCAAAUUCAAUCCCUCGUCAUCUGGUCGAGUAAAUGAUAAACAAAAUGUGAAAGAGCUGGAGACUUCUUCAUCUUUAAACCCCAAGUUGAAAAGCAAGUCAAGUGCAAGUAAAGCUCCCAUUCCUGUUUCAUAUUAUCCUAUUAAUUCUCGUCUCUCUUAUUUGUAGUCAACUAGACCUAUUGUGUACGAGCACAAAUAAUAAAAGAUUUUUAUUGUUGUUCAGAUUGAUUGAUUUUUGAGUUACUCAUCAGUGAUCAAAGUACCUUUUAGAUUUAAAUCAACUUGUAUAAUCUUUUUGUUUUGUGUUUCUAACAAAGAAUAAAUAUCUAACACAACUUGGGUAAAUACGAGUUUGAAGCAAGAAAAUGUGAAAGAGGAGGAGCCUUUUUUAUCAUCAAACCAUAAGCUGAAAAGCAAAUCAAGUUCAAGCAAAGCCCCGAUUCCAGUUUCGUAUUCUCCUGUUAAUUCUCCUAUAUCGUAUUCUC